rnacentral:lncRNA from 1 species
UGUUGCACUUCGCUCUGUACUGAAAGCUCAUUCAACUGGUCAAGGAACAUUCAGAUUGAUUGCUUUCAUAUACACUAGAUCGGAAUCACGCCUUGGCGCGUGGGUGCCGGUCCCAGUGUUUUGCCGAAACAUGUAACACUAUAUUAGUAGAAACCAAGUAUAACAUUUGCACUUAUAGAGGAUAAUAAUGUAAAGAGACAUUUAAUUGUGAUAGAGCUCAAGAUCAACAUAAGUUUAUAAGGCAGGAUCAAGCUCAGUGCGUUCAUACGACCACAAAAGAUAGCCAUUCGACACGAAAUUCGAUACCAAAAGUACGAACACAUAAGAGGAGGUAAGAAGAACGGGAACAUAAUAAAGAAGAGUCAACUACAGAGCCAUACUUAGUAAGCAUACUAAUAAGUGUCGCAAUUCAUCUGUCUUGUCGAUAUACUUCAUAGGGACCGCCUCACAUGAACCUGAUACUAUCAAGCAUCGACCACAUUACUUACAAUUCCUCUAUGCUUUUGUAUGGCCAAACGAUAGCACUCCGGUCAUUUUGAUUAGAAAGUUUCUUACAGAAGGACAUGAUACAUGAAUUUUUCAAUCUGAACAUAAGUACAUGAGGCCUAAAUAGUGUAUUUAUAGUUCUAUGCUAAUUUUCCAUAUCUAUUCCGUGGUUUAAUAAAUCUUAAGCACAUGUAAUGAUCAACACAAGCACAUGAGUUGUAGGGUACCACAGGAAUUUGAUCAGGCACGUGACAGUUAUACCACAGGAAUAUCUGAUGGACAAAAAUUUUAUAAAAAGUCAGUAACCAACUAAAUGUAAUAGUACACCUAUCAAAAUUCAGUAUACAUAGGCGUGCUACCUAGCUCGGUGGCCCAAAUCCUAACUCUGUGCGCAAAUAAAAGUGUUCGUACACAAUUAGUUCAUGCAAGAGAUUGCCCACAACGUUCUUCUCAAAUAAUGAUGCAUGCAUGAUUCCAAAAUAAAAUAAAUACAGUUCACAAUCCCUCCCCACAAAACACAACACUAUGAAUUAAUUGUAACCAUGUUUAUUUGAUCGAUAAUCAUUUUUUUACCGCAAUGAUAAUCACGUUCUUUUCAUCACGAACAACUGCUUACGGAUUGAAAAUAUAGAUAGGCUGAAGCGCCACAUAGGCAUCAUUCAACAAUUUUAAUUAUUUGCUAAAAUCCCCACUACCCAUGGCAACAAUCACAAACCUUGUUAUUUUAAUAUUUUUUAUUAACUAUAUUUCUGCCGAAAAGUGGUGACACUUUCUACUCAAAUCUGCAAGAUGUAAUUCAGCCAAACACUUUAUGAUCGGAAAUCUAACAUACCUUCUAGUCUAUCCAGCCAAUUGGGGAUCGAUCUAUUCUAUGGAUAAAUCAGAUGACUGAGCGGAAUCCCCAAUCGCUGCCUCUGCCCCCACUUCCGCCGCACAGUUUUGGCUGUCCACACUGCUUCCCCCAUGGUGCGUCUACAUAAUCCCAUUUGCCGAAAUUUAGGUUAGCUGCUCAGAAAUCCGGAAACAAAUCCCUGCGGAACUGCGCACAUCACUAACUCAAAUUUGUACCUGUUAAUUGUUGGCCCGAACUAGCGAGUAGCUAGUUGUCCGAGGAUCAACCAAGUCUAAACUACAGCUAGUGCAAACUAGCAGAGCACAUAGUGCUGCUCACUCACACAUAC